GCCUUCGUGGUGUAAUGGUUAGCACAGUCGGCGCGUAUUCGACAGAUACGAGGUUCGAGUCCCGGCGAGGGCA
rnacentral:tRNA from 1 species